GACGAACGCUGGCGGCGUGCUUAACACAUGCAAGUCGAGCGGUAAGGCCUUUCGGGGUACACGAGCGGCGAACGGGUGAGUAACACGUGGGUGACCUGCCCUCAGCUCUGGGAUAAGCCUGGGAAACCGGGUCUAAUACCGGAUAUGACUCCAUGACGCAUGUUGUGGGGUGGAAAGCCUUGUGCGGCUGAGGAUGGGCCCGCGGCCUAUCAGCUUGUUGGUGGGGUGAUGGCCACCAAGGCGACGACGGGUAGCCGGCCUGAGAGGGCGACCGGCCACACUGGGACUGAGACACGGCCCAGACUCCUACGGGAGGCAGCAGUAGGGAAUCUUGCGCAAUGGGCGAAAGCCUGACGCAGCGACGCCGCGUGA
rnacentral:rRNA from 1 species